GCGGGGGUUGCCAAGCUUGGCCAAAAGGCGCAGGGUUCAGGUCCCUGUCUCGUAGGAGUCCGCGCGUUCAAAUCGCGCCCCCCGCACCA
rnacentral:tRNA from 1 species